GCAGCAGUGGGGAAUAUUGGACAAUGGGCGCAAGCCUGAUCCAGCCAUACCGCGUGGGUGAAGAAGGCCUUCGGGUUGUAAAGCCCUUUUGUUGGGAAAGAAAUCCAGCUGGCUAAUACCCGGUUGGGAUGACGGUACCCAAAGAAUAAGCACCGGCUAACUUCGUGCCAGCAGCCGCGGUAAUACGAAGGGUGCAAGCGUUACUCGGAAUUACUGGGCGUAAAGCGUGCGUAGGUGGUCGUUUAAGUCCGUUGUGAAAGCCCUGGGCUCAACCUGGGAACUGCAGUGGAUACUGGGCGACUAGAGUGUGGUAGAGGGUAGCGGAAUUCCUGGUGUAGCAGUGAAAUGCGUAGAGAUCAGGAGGAACAUCCAUGGCGAAGGCAGCUACCUGGACCAACACUGACACUGAGGCACGAAAGCGU
rnacentral:rRNA from 1 species